CAUUUUGACAUCAUAAUGGGGAAUAGAAAGCAGUAUCUGCCCCAGGCAAAAAUUUAUUUCCAGGCAAAGUAAGAGGGAUGACCAUUGCCUUGGCUUACUUGGUGGCACUUAGGGAAUAGGGAUUUGGGAGAGUUGGGAACCACAGAGACAUUCUUACUGAGGUCUCUUUCCUGGUGCUGCCAGAUUUCAGGGUGUGAGGCUCACAACACAACAGGCUGGUGAUCUUUUCUCUCUUUCCCAUUCUGAUCUUCCAGGAGGGGACACUGUUCGUUGGCUAGUCUCUGUUAAAUGCAAGGGAUCCUCCAUAGGAUAAGAAAUUUGAGAGUGAAGUAGAUUCCCUGUACCAGGCUUCUGAGUGCCUUGAGAGCUGGAUAGUAUGCUAAUUAUAUCAUAUUCCAAAGCCAAGAUCGGUGCUUGCUAGAUAGAGGACAUAUAAACACUGGCGAACAGAUGUAAACACUGGCUGUAAACAUCGGUGGAGUGAAUCAGUGCAUUUUGAGAUUUUGCAGAAUAACAUCCACUGCACCUUUCCAAGGGUAAAGGUUUCAAAACCAUAAACAACUAUAUUCAGCAACGUAGGAAAAAGAUCUAUUUUGCGCACAAUUUGACAUGAGACUAACAUCCAUGUGGCAAGGAAUUUCAAAGCGUGAAUUCUGCCUUGAAAUAGAGCAAGGAAAAAACAGAAACUCGCCUGGAUGUGAGGACUGCAGGAUAGAGAGCGUUGCACAGCUAGCAGAAGGUGGUGAUGUGCUGAAAAGAAGAGGACUUCUGGUCACCACAACAAGCUCAUGCAACUACCUGACUUGCACAGGCUGGGCCAGCAGAAUUAUUCACUAGUCCAGUAAGGUUGUCAGAACAAGUUUAAUGGAAGCAAGAGGUGAUAACAGUGGGCCCCAUUCAGUUAAUAAGAAGGAAGCUUGACAAGACAGAACCGAAGUGGCAGGGCAGGCUGCAGUGUGAGGUCAGUUUUUAGGCUUUCAGAACUUUAUCCCAUCAUCUGUAGUGGCUACAGACUCACCAUCACCACAGCAAGUAAAUUCAUAGGCAAAAAGGGAUGAUGGGCCCCCAGUGAAACUCAACCUUCAUGCCAAGGACAGUCUAAAGCCUGAAAACCAAAGUGUAAAUCCACAAACCAGAUUGAGAGCUCCCAUUUCUGUUUGGUGUGCUCUCUCCAGAUUGGCCCUUUUCUUUCACCUAUUUUACAUAUACCUACCCUUUCCCAAUUGGUUCUCUACACUAUUGUGCCUAUUUCUGAAUCAUGCUUUUUCAAACACACCCAUAGACCAAUCAGCAUGCACUUCCCACUUCAAGUGCAUAAAUAUUCCUAGACUUAGCCUCAUGGCCAACAAUCCAUCUUCGGGUCCCCUCUCACAGUCAAGAGCUUUUCUGUCCCUCGAUCAAUAAAUUCUAUUCUGCCUUACUCAAUUUCCAGUGUCUGUGUGCCUUAUGCUUAUUCUUCUCUGUCAUGGGGCAAGAACUGAGAACUCAUUGAAGUAUGGGAGUAAAAGAGCAGUAAAACUCGUUUUAGAAAGAACCUGGGAUUCUGAGCAGUAUAACCAUACAUGGCUGGGUACAGUGAUUCAGGCAUGUAAUCCCAGCAUUUUGGGAAGCCAAAGUGGGCAGAUCACUUGAGCCCAGGGAGAUGAAACUAGCCCAGGCAACAUGGUGAAACUGCAUCUCUACAAAAACUACCAAAAACUUAGCUGGGUAUGAUGGCGCAUGCCUAUAGUCCCAACUACUCAGGAGGCAGAGGUGGCAGAAUCACCUGAACCCAAGAAGUCAAGGCUGCAGUGAGCUGUGAUUGCACCACUGCACUCCAGCCUGGAUGACAGUGAGACUUUGUCUAAAAAAAAAAAAAAAAAAAAAAAAAACCAGGCUGAGCGCGGUGGCUCACACCUGUAAUCCCAGCACUUUGGGAGGCCGAGGUGGGUGGAUUACAAGGUCAAGAGAUCAAGACCAUCCUGGUCAACAUGGUGAAACCCCGUCUCUACUAAAAAUACAAAAAAAUUAGUUGGGCAUGGUGGCACAUGCCUGUAAUCCCAGCUAUUCGGGAGGCUGAGGCAGGAGAAUUGCCUGAACCCCAGGAGGCGGAGGUUGCGGUGAGCCGAGAUCGUGCCAUUGCACUCCAGCCUGGGUAACAAGAGCGAAACUCCAUCUCAAAAAAAAGCAAAAAAACAACCAUACAUACUACUGAAAAGUAGUGGGAGAACGGCAGCUCCAGCCCCCAGAAACUGGUCUAUCACACACAGUUAUGUCAAAUUAUUCUCCUGUUGAACAUAAACAAUCUCACAGAAUAUCAUGACGAAGUGACGUAAAACAAGUCCAUUUCAUAAUUUUAUCCAAGGAAAGAUAAAACCAAGGUCACUAUGCUACCCACAAAAUACCAGAUUUCUCCUCUCUUGGCCAGAAUGUGUGACUACAACUUUAUAAUUAAUCUACCAUCUUUAUAAAUAAGAUUUAUUAAGAUACCUAAUUUUAGAAUUGCCCCCACGUUCUGAUAGCAUCCAAUCUAGAGUAAACAUCUGCUUUGUGGACCCUCUCUGACAUCAUUCAAUCAAAGCCCAGAUCCUGUAAGAGGAUCUUUCUGACACCCUCUCUCUGAAAUGCCCCUAGUUUCAUAGGGUGUAUGUUCUCCUUCUGCAACAAAUUAUAAACUCAGUUGAUUUGAUUAUAGGUGUGUUCCUGGUCAUCUUUGGAUGGAGGGUAUUAACAGUACAAAAUUAGAUUCAAAAUAAAGCUCGGUUCCAAGAAAUGGGCAAACAUUUAGACAAUGAGCACUUAUUAAAGCUGCAACAUAAAGAGCCACUCGAACAGCCAAGACUUGCCCCAGGGUUCUGAAAUUAGUUCUCACCAUAAUUUAAUUCCAGACCACACCAGAAAAGAAAGAGCUGAUGUCACAGUUCUGGCGGCAAGUGAGAUUUGGGGGGGUUACAAAAUAUACUGGGCCUGCAGCACAGAGUCAGGAAAAGAAGCCACAAAGAGGGAAGGAAGCUGCAAUUAGUAAGCUGAGCUGUUUUUAUAAUGCCCUGUAAGUUCUGGACUCUUAGAGACCAGAAUCUUUAUGAUCAGAAUUGUUCAAUCUGUCAAUCAGCUGGAG
rnacentral:lncRNA from 1 species